GCCGCCGUAGUUCAAUGGAUAGAACGGGCGCCUCCUAAGCGCCAGAUGCAGGUUCGAUUCCUGCCGGAGGCGCCA
rnacentral:tRNA from 2 species